rnacentral:rRNA from 1 species
CGGCAUGCCUUACACAUGCAAGUCGAACGGCAGCACGGGAGCAAUCCUGGUGGCGAGUGGCGAACGGGUGAGUAAUAUAUCGGAACGUGCCCAGUCGUGGGGGAUAACGUAGCGAAAGCUACGCUAAUACCGCAUACGAUCUAUGGAUGAAAGCGGGGGAUCGCAAGACCUCGCGCGAUUGGAGCGGCCGAUAUCAGAUUAGGUAGUUGGUGAGGUAAAGGCUCACCAAGCCGACGAUCUGUAGCUGGUCUGAGAGGACGACCAGCCACACUGGGACUGAGACACGGCCCAGACUCCUACGGGAGGCAGCAGUGGGGAAUUUUGGACAAUGGGCGCAAGCCUGAUCCAGCAAUGCCGCGUGCAGGAUGAAGGCCUUCGGGUUGUAAACUGCUUUGUACGGAACGAAACGGUGAGCUCUAAUACAGUUUGCUAAUGACGGUACCGUAAGAAUAAGCACCGGCUAACUACGUG